rnacentral:rRNA from 1 species
AUUGAACGCUGGCGGCAGGCUUAACACAUGCAAGUCGAGCGAGUGGCGGACGGGUGAGUAAUGUCUGGGAAACUGCCUGAUGGAGGGGGAUAACGACUGGAAACGGUAGCUUAUACCGCACACCAUAGGAUGCGCCCAGAUGGGAUUAGCUAGUAGGUGGGGUAAAGGCUCACCAAGGCGACGAUCCCUAGCUGGUCUGAGAGGAUGACCAGCCAAACUGUAACUGAGACACGGUCCAGACUCCAACGGGAGGCAGCAUUGGGGAAUGUUGCGCAAUGGGCGCAAGCCUGAUUCAGCCAGGCCGCGUGUAUGAAGAAGGCCUUCGGGUUGUAAAGUACUUUCAGCGGGGAGGCGUUAACCGCAGAAGAAGCACCGGCUAACUCCGUGCCAGCCGCCGCGGUAAUUC